AUUGAACGCUGGCGGCAUGCCUUACACAUGCAAGUCGAACGGUAACGGGCCUUCGGGUGCCGACGAGUGGCGAACGGGUGAGUAAUACAUCGGAACGUGCCCGAUCGUGGGGGAUAACGAGGCGAAAGCUUUGCUAAUACCGCAUACGAUCUACGGAUGAAAGCAGGGGACCGCAAGGCCUUGCGCGGACGGAGCGGCCGAGGGCCGAUUAGGUAGUUGGUGGGCUAAAAGCUUACCAAGCCGACGAUCUGUAGCUGGUCUGAGAGGAUGAUGAGCCACACUGGGACUGAGACACGGCCCAGACUCCUACGGGAGGCAGCAGUGGGGAAUUUUGGACAAUGGGCGCAAGCCUGAUCCAGCCAUGCCGCGUGCAGGAUGAAGGCCUUCGGGUUGUAAACUGCUUUUGUACGGAACGAAAAGCCUUCUUUUAAUACAGGAGGGUCAUGACGGUACCGUAAGAAUAAGCACCGGCUAACUACGUG
rnacentral:rRNA from 1 species